UGGUGGAGUGAUUUGUCUGCUUAAUUGCGUUAACGAACGAGACCUCAGCCUGCUAAAUAGUUAUGCGAACCUUCUGCUUGGGUGAAGGCGCGGCGGGCAGUUCCUGCUUCCGGGUGGGGGCACCCCCGCGCUGGAUCCUUGAUGCGUUCGUAGCAAUACUUCUUAGAGGGACAACUGGUUUUAAGCCAGUGGAAGUUUGAGGCAACAACA
rnacentral:rRNA from 1 species